rnacentral:rRNA from 1 species
CAGUCGCCACGGGAAUACCGAGGGUGCAAGCGUUAAUCGGAAUUACUGGGCGUAAAGCGCGCGUAGGUGGUUUGUUAAGUUGGAUGUGAAAUCCCCGGGCUCAACCUGGGAACUGCAUCCAAAACUGGCAAGCUAGAGUAUGGUAGAGGGUGGUGGAAUUUCCUGUGUAGCGGUGAAAUGCGUAGAUAUAGGAAGGAACACCAGUGGCGAAGGCGACCACCUGGACUGAUACUGACACUGAGGUGCGAAAGCGUGGGGAGCAAACAGGAUUAGAUACCCGAGUAGUCCCUGUCUCUUAUAC